CAGAAUUAAAACCGUACCUGAACUGCACUUUGGACUUUGCCAACUUUUCGCUGGUCAUUGAAGACGGUGUGUGGGUAUGUGAGGGUCUGUGCAGAAGUGACCCCUCCUACUGCAAUUUUCAUGGGGAGUGCUUUAAUUGGGAGGAUGGACCAGAGUGCGAAUGCUAUAUAAAUAAUUUUGAGGAAUACUACGGGCCAAGGUGUGAUCUUUACAGCAGAACUUCAAGGUUUUAUGCUGUACUCUUUGGAACUUUAGUGGGUGCCCUGUUUCUGCUCUUCAUUCUGGUAAUAGUAAUUUGGCUGCUGCGAAGACGUCAUGCGGGGAAAUGGUCCAUGACUGGCAGGUCUAAUCUGAAGAGGUUGUCAAUGUUUGAUGAGGUCUUCUUUGACUUCAGAGGCUCAGGUUAUGGGACAUACCAGCUGUAUAAAGAAGGAAAUGAGACAGAGAAAACUUCUGCUGCAGAUUUCAGGCCAAAUCUUGAGAAUGUCGACACAACAUUAGAUGUGACCACAAAACGACCAGAACUCACAGCUAACCAAAGUUAAUUUUCACUUGAGUGAAUGUCUGGGAUUUCUUCUUCAGUUUCAAAUGUUUAAGUAGUGCUUUGUGGCUUCUUACACCUCAGAAUGUCGAGUUUUAUAUUAAAUAAAAACAGAGCCUAUUAACUUAAAUACUAACUG
rnacentral:lncRNA from 1 species